GGCUGGUACUUCGUCAGUCGUCUAUCCAGCAGCCAUGUUUGCUCCUCAGGUGGCAGCCAGAGGUGUCCCCGUGGCCGAAUUUAACAUGGAAGACACGCCGGCCACCAUGCGCUUCAAGUUCCACUUCCAUGGCCCGUGUGGGACCACGUUACCCCCUGCACUGGCACGCCACGAGACGGAACGACCCUGAAAAGGAGUCGAACUGUACACAGACCAGAGUGUAUAACACUGGAGGACGUCAGUGGUACAAAUACCAUGAGUUAUGGGUUGAAUAUAAUGAGUACCCAGCAUGGAUGAUGAGGUAAUGGACAUUGGGUGAAUGGAAAAAAUAAGAAGAGGCAAUCAGAUUAUUAAUUAAUCAAUGAAUCCCUUAAUUUCAGCUGUGACACAGAUAAAAUGUGCAAUAAAGGGUAAAUAUGACUAAAUCAUAAAUAGUUACACAUACAGAAUUUUAGGCAGUUUCAAGUUGAUGGGGUUGUUUGUAGUUUAAAAGUUUUUUUUGUUUUUUUGUUUUUGCAUUGGGAUAUGUUGGGAAAAAGUGACUUAAUUGCUAUCAAGUUAUUUUUUUAAAAACUUUAAAAAUUCAACAUAGCAGCAAAUAUUGCUAAAAUGUUGCUCCGAUGAUAAAUGACACUAAGCCUCUGUGCUGCCGACACUGAAUGUAUAAGUUUUAUUUGUUCAUUUUCAUUUGUUAAAUUUCUAACUGUGCAAUGAAGCAACUGAAAGGCAGAGUGAACCAUAUCACUCCUUUUGCAUUAAAUGAAUAGUGAGCUCAGACAGUAGGGGGCAGUGUUUAGCUGCUGCUGUGGAGGCUGCUAACUUCCAGUUUGGAGAGAAAAAAAAAAAA